GACGAACGCUAGCGGCGGGCUUAAUACAUGCAAGUUUAGGGGUUCAGCAAUGGACACCGGCGGACGGGUGCGUAACACGUAUGCAACCUGCCCUUUACUGGAGGAUACUCCGGAGAAAUUCGGCACAACACUCCAUAUACUCAUACUUUCGCAUGGGAGAAUGAGGAAAGGUUACGGUAAAGGAUGGGCAUGCGUCUGAUUAGCUAGUUGGCGAGGUAACGGCUCACCAAGGCGACGAUCAGUAGCUGGUCUGAGAGGAUGAUCAGCCACACUGGCACUGAGAUACGGGCCAGACUCCUACGGGAGGCAGCAGUAGGGAAUAUUGGUCAAUGGGCGAAAGCCUGAACCAGCCACGCCGCGUGCAGGAAGAAGGUCCUCUGGAUUGUAAACUGCUUUUGCCAAGGGAUAAAGAGAGGCUAUACGCCUAAAUGAAGGUACUUGGUGAAUAAGCCACGGCUAACUACGUGCCAGCAGCCGCGGUAAU
rnacentral:rRNA from 1 species